AGUGAACGCUGGCGGUAGGCCUAACACAUGCAAGUCGAACGGCAGCACAGUAAGAGCUUGCUCUUACGGGUGGCGAGUGGCGGACGGGUGAGGAAUACAUCGGAAUCUACUUUUUCGUGGGGGAUAACGUAGGGAAACUUACGCUAAUACCGCAUACGACCUACGGGUGAAAGCAGGGGAUCUUCGGACCUUGCGCGAUUGAAUGAGCCGAUGUCGGAUUAGCUAGUUGGCGGGGUAAAGGCCCACCAAGGCGACGAUCCGUAGCUGGUCUGAGAGGAUGAUCAGCCACACUGGAACGGAGACACGGUCCAGACUCCUACGGGAGGCAGCAGUGGGGAAUAUGGGACAAUGGGCGCAAGCCUGAUCCAGCCAUACCGCGUGGGUGAAGAAGGCCUUCGGGUUGUAAAGCCCUUUUGUUGGGAAAGAAAAGCAGCAGGUUAAUACCCCGCUGUUCUGACGGUACCCAAAGAAUAAGCACCGGCUAACUUCGU
rnacentral:rRNA from 1 species